GUGAGUUCCAGGACAGCCAGGCCUACAUGAAGAGACCUGUCUCGAAAAAACUGAAAAAGAAGAGGGCAUUGGUUCCUCUAGAAGUGGAAUUAUAGCCUGUUGUACUAUGUGGGUGCUGGGAACUGAACCCAGGUCCUCUGGAAGAGCAGCAAGUUAUUCCCAGCUGCUGAGCCACCCUUUACAACCGGCAUAACAGAGCAAAGAGCAGGAGUAGCUACAGGGCGAAGAUUCAGGAAUGUCUUCCUGGCCCUGUCUUUACCCUGUUACCCCACCCCUACCUUUCACCCUUGUCCCUUCCCACCAACAUCAAGACACUGAGCGGGUCAUUUUCUCAUGCUCAGCCUGGUCCUGCAGGCAUGUCCUAUGUCACACUCAGAGAUUGCUGGCAGAUGUCUGUGGGGGCUGGGAGAAGCUGGGUUACAAUCCCCAAGGACAUCAUUAAGGCACAGAAGUACUAGAGGGCCUUGGAGACCAGGGCACCAGGGGAGAACAUGAUGAAAACAUGUUUUGUACAACACGUGUCCUUUCCUCGUCCCUCCUCCCCUCCUUUGCCCACCUCCUCCCUCCAGGUGCCCUGGGCAAAGGCUGGUGCUGGCCCUGCCUCGGUGAUUGUUCAGUUUUACCCUUGUACCGGGUCUGUCUGUGCUCGCCAGCUGGUUGGCUCCGCUGGUGUGUAAGUCUGUAUGUGGAAGGUCCUCACCAGCCCCAGGGCUGUCCGGAUCUCUGUGUAGAAUAAACGCCUUGGUUUUGAAGCCUAACAUUUUAGAGCUGCUCUGCACUGCUCUCAGAAUUUCUUUCCUGGCAGACACCGUUCAUGAAUUCAGCAAAUUCGUAUUGAACAGACUAUGUGCUAAGCAGUACGCUAAGCCCUGGGAAGACUUAUAUAUGGUCCCUGCCCUUGUUGGCUCCAAGGCUGCUGGAGGUGUCAGGUGUUAACUAACUAGGGCAAUCAGGACCAGAAGUGCUGCAGGAAGAAGGGUGUGUUUACACCCAGCCCAUGACAAGAGCUUUCUGGGAAGAAAGGGAGAGAGGAGGGUAAUGAAAGAGUAUGUUCAAAGAUCCUGGGGCUGAGGUCUUAGAUCUCAGUCAUAUCACUCUGAUAAAAAUAAGAGGGGGCCCCUAUUCCUAUGCCACCCCCAUAUCCAAUACGCCACGAAGAAGGGACAGUAAAAGCCUCCUCAUGGCCAAAGCUGAUCCUAGGACACAUGGUAAUGCUGUGCUGGAAUGACUUCGUGUAUUCCUUCUCCUUGUCCUAAAGGGUGAAACCGAGACACAGAAAGGGAAGAAUUACAGGCUUAGGCUUGAGAUUACCAUACAGAAAUCAAGGCUCCAAAUUGGCAAAUUCUCCAGCAUGAAGAAUCUUGCGUUUGCCUGGCUGGAGCCUCCUGGGGAGAAAGCUUUCUCCUCCCUGUACACUCCGCCUCCUGCAGAUCCAGCCCUGACCUGCCCUACUCCCUGGAGCUACCCUGUCUGCCUCCACAGUCCCUGCAGUGUGUAUGAGCCCAGGCCUGUCGGAGGAGCUCCCACCCGGGCUGUGGUAGCGGCUGCAGCUGUGGCCACAGUACUGCUUGGAGGCCUCGGGGCUCCACAGGCGGCUGUAGUUUCUGCUUCAGGAGACAGAGGGCUUCUCGAGGGCUCUGUCUGAUCAUCUAGGCCGAGAGGAUGCGUCCCAUGGAAGAUGGCUCAGCUGGUACUGGCGUGACUUCCUCAGACAGAAGCUCUGUGUAGAGUGAAGACGAGUCAGGUGGACACCUCCUCCCCCAAGUCCUGAAGGGGUGAGGGGACCACGCCUUGGAUAUUAGUUUCUGGGUGUGCUCCUGCUGGUUCCAGAACCUCUUCCUCGGCAACUUCUGGAAAGGGUCCUCAGAGCCUUCCUUGCAGCCCUUAAGCCCAAGCUGCCUCAGUCUCCCCAGUGCUGGGGUUAUAGAUGUGUACACUGUGCCCAGCUGAUUCACAGAGGACUUCGAAAUUCGGGAAUUGUGAUACCGUCACCCGAGUCCACAAAUGAACCUUAGUGUCACUGAAUGUGACAGAGCCAGAUACUGUUUGUCUGCUGUCAUGGUGCAAUCUGAAGCAUUCAGUGUCACCUCGAAAAGAUUCUGGCCAAAAGAAACACACAACCUGUUCAACGUGAAAUAAAUCAAACCCCCAUUAUUCAUCACAUGUGUGCAUGGCCAUGAAUGUGCACAUCACAUGUGUGCAGGUGCUCAUGCUCAUGGAAACCAGA